GGACGAGUUGCGCGCGCCCACAGCAGCCGCCUUGCGCCUUCUCCCAACGGCCGGACUGCGCUGCCUCGCCUCGCUCUGCAGCCGCGAGCCGGGCUUCGUCCCUGUGCCUGCGCAGCCAGCCUGUGCUGCGUGUAAAACCGGGUCCCGCUACACGCCCUGCGCCAUGAGUAGGAAGACUCACCUGGAAAAGAAUGACAACAUCUCCUCCAGGUCUUGCAAACUGGUGGGCUCCAUUUUGCCUGAGAAAGAGUUCCAGAACCAGAUGAGACCCAGAGAACCAACAUGAGACAUGGUACGAGCAGCCAUGCUGGAACACACAGAUAAACACGUAGACUCAAGUGCCCACAUGAUCACCACAGCAAGAGUACCUGCUGAUAAGCCAGUCCGAAUUGCCUUCAGUCUAAAUGACUCCCCAGGUACAGUUCAAUUUUAUGGAAUAAAUGCAAAUGAAAUGUUUCUAGGUUUUAUAUGU
rnacentral:lncRNA from 1 species